rnacentral:lncRNA from 1 species
CAAAGCCUGCAAUUCGUCGUUUGGCUCGUAGAGGUGGUGUGAAGCGUAUCAGUGGAUUGAUCUAUGAAGAAACCAGAGGGGUUUUGAAGAUUUUCCUUGAGAAUGUGAUUCGUGAUGCUGUUACCUACACAGAGCAUGCUAGGAGAAAAACGGUGACUGCCAUGGAUGUGGUUUAUGCUUUGAAAAGGCAGGGAAGGACCUUGUAUGGUUUUGGAGGUUAAGUUGUAGGUUGAUUUUACGAAUGAUUGUAUAUCUGGAUUUUGGAUUUAACGUCAUUGAUGUUCAUGUUCAUGUUCUGUUAGAGAAAUUUGGAACUUAUUUACUGUUCUUGCAAUGAAAUUCUAGUUGAUCAUGUACUUACUGUCUCCAGUUUCUUUUUACUUUAUAUAUGAAUAUUUACUGAGCAUUGAUCAUCGGAUAGAAAGUUUCCCUUACCUAAGAUGUGUUGCAUUCAUUAUGUUUGCGAGAUGGUAAAUGCAAAGCUUAAGUGUAAAAUCUGUAAAAUUUGUAUUUAAAUAUAUUGAAACUAAAAAUUUAAGGUCUAAAUUGAUGCACCACCACAAUUUUAGUUGUUAAACUUUAUUUCUUAAAAACGCUAUUAACUUAUAAAUACAACUACAAUAGAUAUGAUAUUGAGUCUGUUGGGUGUUUGUCAAAAUUACAUAUUUGGACUUUUGUGGUUUUAUUUUUUUUUAAUCUAGGUAUAUUUCAUAAAUUUCGAUUUUUUAUUUAAUAAAGUAAUUGGAUUUUAGAAAGUUUGUAUUUGUUAGAGACUUAGAUUGAUAGACCUUUUUCAUGUUGAUUUUGGAAAAUUAAGUUAAACCCAAUUUUAUAUGUUGGUUACUAAAUUUAUUUGAGGUGUGGUGAACGAAUAAUUUCGAUGAAUCACAAAUUGUCAAGUCGUCUUAACGAAAAGUUUAAAUUAUUUGCGAUAAUUUAAAUUGGAUGAGUUUGAGUAACUAAGGUCGUUUGAAUCCAAUUUAAGCCUAUAUCAAAAAUUUUGGUUGAAGAAAAGAGUCGAAGACCAACUUUGGCCUCGAACUCACUACACGAAAAGAUGUAAAAUCAAAUCACCUCAAACCCAUAAAAUAUUCAUCAAAAGUCUUUAUAAAUAGAGGUUUUACUUCUUUACUUUGACGAGGUUGGAAGAAUUAAAAAGCCAAUACUAUACGAAAUUUGAAGUUCUAAGUAUUUAAAUUUUAAAGAUAUGAGGAAUAUAACUUAUCUUAAACUAUAAAGACGAAGCUCUAAAACUCUCAAAUUUCAAAAACUAAAACUAUAAAUAUAUACCUGAAGAAUAUGAAUUUUAAAGUCAACCUAAGACAAUUAAUGAAUCAGAGACUGAUGUAAACUAAUUAACAAAAUCAACUAGUCUAUUUAAGGAUUAAACUCAACAUUUUUAAAGAAAAAAUAAACAAACAAAAAUAAAAGUACAAAUUCAUUAUAUAAAUUAAAUUUAUUAAAAUAUUACGUCAAAAUAUGGUGCUCUUUAACAAGUAAAAAUACUUUUUAAAUAGAAAAAUCGUUAAAAAUAGCAAAUUUGACAAAUUUUCUUUUAAAAAACAGCAAACUUUUCAGAUUUUAUCAAUAAUAAACAUAGAUAAUCACAUAUAUGAUUUUAUCAGUGACAUUGAUAGACACCGACAAAAGUCCAUUAAUAAUAAAUUGAAAAUUGUGUUACACUUUAUAAAUAUUUUAAUUUAUUUGACUAUUUUUAACUAUGCCUUUUUAAAUAGUUUUUUUUUAAAAUUUAAUCCCUAAUUCGAGUAAUUGGUCAGUAGAAUGAAAACUACACAAAAUAAGUUGAGUUAAUCCAAAAAAGUUUAUAAAAAAAUCCCCCAAAAUUUAUAAUUUAAUUUAAUUAUAUAAUCUAAUAAUUCCAAAUUUUGUAAUUAAAUUCAAAAUAAUUAAAUAUAUAACAACAUUUUAAAAAUUUUACGAAUAUAACAGAAUUUAUCAAAUUCUAUCAAUGAUAGAAUCUAUCACUAAUAGACCAUGUUAUAUAUAUUGAUUUAUCAUUUAGAGAUCAUACAAGUCUAUCAAAAAUAGUUUUACUAUAUUUAUAAUUUUUCUUAAAAUAUUGCUACGUUUUUAAUUAUUAUUUAUAAAAUAGUGAUCAAUUAUAAAACAAAUAAAUAAACUUUUCGAAAACUAAAACCGUAAAAUAUACAAAUGGAAACUUCUUUCGAAAUUGGGCCUUCCCGCGGCCCGAUAUGGUAAUUACACGGAUGCCCGCCAAAAGAAAAUUUCACUUUUCAUUCCAAAACCACAAUCCGCAAACAUAUCACGCGGAUCGACAUCCACAACCGUCGAUUAAUUUAAAAUCCAAUAGACGACGUGUUUCCUCGAAUGAAACAUAAAGAAACAAAGCUUCAAAUUUCCCCUUAAAUAAAUUUCCCUAAUCCCCACCCCUCGCCACCAACAUCAAAUUUUAAGAUCCACCCUUUAGCGAUUCGUUCCCCAAUUUUCAGUUGAAGCAAUGUCUGGACGAGGUAAGGGAGGCAAGGGAUUGGGAAAAGGAGGAGCAAAGCGUCACAGGAAGGUUUUGCGAGAUAACAUUCAGGGCAUUACAAAGCCUGCUAUUCGUCGUUUGGCUCGUAGAGGUGGUGUGAAGCGUAUCAGUGGAUUGAUCUAUGAAGAAACCAGAGGGGUUUUGAAGAUUUUCCUUGAGAAUGUGAUUCGUGAUGCUGUUACCUACACAGAGCACGCCAGGAGAAAGACGGUGACUGCCAUGGAUGUGGUUUAUGCUUUGAAAAGGCAGGGAAGAACCUUGUAUGGUUUUGGAGGUUAGGUUGAUUGUACGAAUGAUUGUAUAUCUGGGGUUUGGAUUUAACGUCAUUGAUGUUCAUGUUCAUGUUCUGUUAGAGAAAUUUGGAAGUAAUUUACUGUUCUUGCAAUGAAAUUAUAGUUAAUCAUGUACUUACUGUCUUCAGUUUCUUUUUACUUUAUAUAUGAAUAUUUACUGAGCAUUGAUCAUUGGGUAGAAAGUAUAUAACUAUUUGGCUUGUUGUAAUGUUUUAUUCAUAGAAACGACGAUAAAAAACAAAUUAAUAGUUCACGCUAGAAGGAUAUCACAUUUUUUUUUCUUUCGAUUUCCUGAUGCUAAUUUGUUGGGUGACUUUGUAGUUAUUACUAUCUCAAUUAAUUUUGUUUUUAUGUUUGAAUCUUGAUCAUUAACUAUAUAUAUUCUUCGAGACUUGGAUGUAUUUAUGGAACAAACCCGAUCCAACUUUGGAUCGAAGAAGCCAUGUAACACCCAAUUUCUUAAAUUAUUUACGUUUUAGUAUAUGAACUAAAUAAAUUGAUUGGUGGGUAAUGUAGCUUCUCUUCAAGAAAAACUAAAUGAUUACAACCCCGCUUCUGCUUGAUAGCUAUGAAUAAUCUGAGUCCUUAAAAGAGAUAGAAUGUGAAGGUUGAGAGGAUGUUGGACUUAUUAUCGAGAGGAUGGUUGGUGGAUGAACAGCUUCAAAUGAGAUAUCUUGUUUGCCCUUAUUUGUUUGGUUUAUUAUUUAACUUGUCAAUGGAUGACUUGUUGGCGUGUUGUGUGUCCAUUCUGUUUUCUAGUCUUUUUCUUGUUCAAAAUUGAUGGGGGUAGCGCAGUGUUGAAGGGAUUGAAGUCUAGACGACCCUUUUUAAUUGGCAAGAAGCAGGUUCAUUGUGGUGGAGCAUAGAUUCAAAUAUGGACUCCCUCCACAGUUUCAAAAGGUGUGCAGGUUGAUGCUGUUAACAUAUCAUUUAUCUUUCCAAGCCGUUUUUUAUUCUUAUCAUUAUUUUGUCAAAUAAGACCAUCUAGCUUUACUAAUGUAACACUUGUAUACAUCAGCUUUCAUUUUUAAUCUGGUCCUUUAUGUUAUCUUUCGAAAUUUGCUGGCCUUGCAACUCAUCUUUACUUUGUUCUGUGUAUAUCUGGUAUGCAAGCUAUGGCUUGUUCGUUUUCUGAAGGGAUUGAAGUCUAGACGACCCUUUUCUUAGUAAUGGACGUGGAGAGACUAAUAUUUCAAAGUAGUUCAUCUUAAAACCCAAUUCAUACGUGGAUGUAGGAUGGACAAACUUUUUUUAGUUUUUGACUUAUUUUCUGUCAAAUUUCUGUAAAAUGUGUAUGAUGAUUCUGUAAGACUCGUAUUAGCAAAUUUGUAUUCGAGAAGGGGUGAGAUAGGGUAUUUCAUGGGGAACCGUUGGUUUUUUCUGCAGUGGUUGAGGAUUAUUUGUUAUUAGGGAUCAUGAGGGGUUUAAAAACUUUGCUCAGGGAAGAAAGGUUGGGAAAAUUUUGAAGUGUCACAGUAGCUGGAGAAGACUCUGUUAUCUUUGAAUAGUCGAGGAUUUGUGCAUUUCAGUUCCUUGUAUUUGUAUUUAUGAGUUUCCGUGUAAUUGUGGAGAACUCGUUGAACUCUUGGAAUUUCCACGAGUAGAUAUCGUACAGGGUGAGUACUGUACACUGUUCUUGGUAUAUAUUUGUGUGUUGUUCUGCUUGGAGCGGUUGUUAGAUACCUAACAAAUUCUCAAUGUAAUGACUGAAAACAUGUACUCCCACAACAACCAAGUUGGCUUGUUUAAAAGAAGCUGCAGGAAGAUUCAAUGUCUAGCGAAGUGGAGCAUGUUGGGAUUUGGUGUCGGGGCGCUUGCAGCUUUGGUGUGCCCUUCCCUUGGUUACGAACUACUUCAGUGAACUAUUCAUUUCACAAGUUUUUGAACUUCUUGAUUAUAGGAUUAUAGGAUGCAAGAAUGAACUGGCACCAGCCAGUUUUGGGUUAUUCUUUGUUGUUUUGGCAAGUGUAGUUUAGAUUUUGUGACUUUUUGGAGAGAUGAUAGUUAACUAUAUUACAUCAAUGUAUGACCCAAAUUAUUUUAAUAUCAAUUUUUAUUAUUUAAUUGAUUUAAAACAAAAGUAUAAAUGAAAAUUUUCAUGGGGUAUGGUUUUGGAAAGAAGUGGAAAAUGUUUAAUACUUUCCUUUUACAAAAAUUGUGGUCUACUCCUCUCAUUAUACUUGCAUAAGCAAACAUGGGUUACAGUUUGUACUAAGAAAUUUGAAAGAUUUCAAUGGUGAAGAAGACUUUCGACGAGCGAAAAAUACAGAACUUUUCUAAUAGAACUUGGAUCUAAAUUUUGAGGUUAGUACUGUAUAGAUUCAAAACAUAUGAAACAUUAGGUAUAUUUUAGAUAUUCGAUUAAAUAGACAAACAAACGAAAAUGUAGUUUUGAACGUGAUACAAAAUAUUGCGGAACGAAAAAUAGUUCUCUUUGAAUUCGUACCCUAAGAAAGAAAAUGCAUGAACUAAGAGAAUAUGGUGCUCCACCAGGAGAGGUAGAGGAAUGAAAAAAAAGAAAGGAUAGCUGAGUGGCUUAAUUGUAAGACAUUUCUUUGCUUAAAUUGACAAUAGUCUCUCUUGCCCACGCAGCGAUAGGCUCAAUCUCUUUCUUAGCCCAAUAAGGAUUUCUUUGAAUAAGAGUUCAGUGAGAAGUUGUCGAAUAGGAAGAGGAUCUUGAACAAGAAUCAAGGUAAUUAUCUAUUUUCGUAACUAGACAACUAAGAGGUAGAAAGUCGAUCGCGUAGUGGGAGGAAGACAACUUAUCCCUUCUUUCUUCGGGGUCAGAACCUAAGAUCCUUUGAUCUAUAUGGAUAAAUCAACCUCAUGCCUCCAUAAUCAAGUAGCAUCCACUAAAAAGGAGCAGUUCAAUUUCCAAGGAGCUAUCGCGAAGUAGGAGUAGAGCAUUUUUGCACAACUUCUCCUGAACAAGGGAUUACUUUUCAGUUGCCACCGAACCGCCCCUCUCCGUAUCAGUUGAGUCAUCCUCGAGACUGAUUAAUGGAAAAUAUAGCCACCUCCGCGAGUGAUCCUAUUGAAAUUAAUACAUUAAUUUGUUAAGAUUUGUGCAAACCCCCUUUAUGUGCCCCAUGUGCGCUUUCCCACGCUUAAUCACUUUACUCUGUGGAAAAUGCACUAACUUUUGGCCAGCAGAGAAGGAGCAUGAGUCAGAGGAAAUUAUUUGAUUUUCAGAGUAUUCCAAAGAUUAGUAUGCUAUCUUCUCAUUAUAUCAGUCUUUGAACUAUGAUUUAAAGACACUAUCGCGUAGUGCAACUGCAUUAAGACUCGAGCGGUAAAUUUCGAAGAAUCUUGUCUUCUGAAUCAGAAUCAAUGAAAGGACUUCCCUUUACAAAGAGAGGGUAGUCGGCCUUCAUCAGCCUAGGAAGGCUUCCUUGGUUCAGGAACCAGAUUUGGGUCUCUAAGAAGUUCUCCUUUUCCCGCUAUUUAAUAUAGACCUUUACAGCGACUCCCACGGGGCGGUACUUGUUGCUAACUAGAAAGCACAAGAUUUUCUAUAGGGUUGAGAAAAUACAAAUAGGUCCCUGAACUCCUAAGCUAAGGAUUAUUAUAUUAAUUUAGUCUUUGAAGAUCUCUCAUUCAUUUCAACCCUCGACCCUACUAUUUGAUUCAGUCGAUUUAUCAUUAUAGGACUAAUUUUUAUUCUCAUUCAAUAGUAGACCAGGAUUCUGAUUUCAUCAUCAGGAAGCUGAAAAGUCAAGAUAGAAUUAGUUGUGUCAAUCUUGGUAUGUCUUAAGAGAGUAUUUUCUUUAGCCUCUGGUCUUGCCCCGUCCAAAACCUGAUAAUGAUUCCGUUAAGGAAACCAUAAUCUACGAAUAAGAAAGACAGAUCAGACUAAGCUGCCAAUACAUCCAUUCCAUCUCCACCAAAAUGACCCAUAUGUAUAGCUUAUUCCCUCUGAUAUUCAGUUGGCAAGUGAGCCUGAGAUCUGAUUUAUCCAGUAUUUUAGGAAAUCUUUGAGAUUCCCGCUUUAUAUAAAUUAUUUUGUGGGCUACAGGUGGAGGGCUAUGAGAUCGUUCACUCAAUCCUGGAGCAUGACUUUUGGAUGGAAGUUAAACCAAAACUAAGAGGCUCGUAGAGAAUUCGGGGAUAUAACAACGGAUCUAUGUUCCUGAAAAGUCUCGAAGAAGGCCACCAACACCCAACUUAGCAGAAUAUUAUGUGGUAGCGCACCCAUCAGUAUUUCAUUUCUUAAGACGAAGAUUCUAAUGGAUCAAUGCAAUUUGAGAACUGAAAAUCUUCUUUGAGACAUCCUUCAGACUUUCCAUAUUAGCUUUCUUUCGUCUCAGUAGCUUAAUUCUAAAAAAUCCAUAUUAGUCGUUCUUCCCGUGUAGUGGGCUUGCUUAGCGCCUCAGUCACAUUUAGUUCAUAUAGACCUUUGCUUUUCUUUUGUGCUCCUCUCCUUCUUAGUCGAGCAGUCUUCUCAUCAAAUUUCAUUGAUCCUCUCCUUACUGCAAUAUUCUCAAAUUAAGGAUCUGGACCUUUCCUUUUGGAGCAAUAUUCUUUGUGCCUCCUACAAUAUUCCUGUCUUAUACAUCCUUACUCAAAUUUCAUUGAUCCUCUCAACAACGCAAUAUGGAAAGCUCUUUGUUAAGUAGUUGAAUGAAAAGCUCAAUUCAAUUUGAGUUUGUGCCUCCAAAAACAAAAGCUCUUGUCGGCUCAAAGAAUAUUGAAUAAAGAAUGAAUUUACCAUUCUCGUUAGGCUCAAAAAAGAUUUCGAAGAAAGGGAUAUUGUAGAGCGAUUCAAUUAUUCAAAAACAAAGGCGCCAUAAGCCAGGUCUGAAGUACUAUCCAUCAUGGAGGCUCAAAAUAAGCCCACUACGCGGGAAGAAAGAAUAUCCUUAGUUGAGCGAAUAUUCGAUCCCCAGCUUCCUCUUACUAAAUAAAGAUCUACGCCUCAAUCUGAUUUCAUAGUCAUCAGCCUCAGUAGCUAGAUCGAGGGAAGAAGGAAGACAUGCUGCAAGUCCUUCUUUCCUUAUUCAAAGAUGUAAUGAUUCUCAUGGAAAUGAAACUAUCAAUAGGAUGCUCAAAUAGGAAGAGAAUCUGAAGCCUCAACUUUCAAGCAGUAGAGAACAAGGCAAGAGGUUCAAAGGAACGAGUUAAAGUUAGAGUUCGAAUGAGAUCUUUAUAGCAUCCAUCUCUUUUAAGCUCUCAAGACGGAUAUGGGGAAUUUCUUUCCCGAGUCGAGUAAGUCUUGCAGCUCUCUUGUGGUACACUAAAUAAGUUCUCUUUCAGCUUUCGAGUAUAAAAAAAUAGAAGAAAGAAAAGAAGAAUUUUCGAUUCACCUUAAUGAUCUUAAAUGAAAACCCGUUGGGAGUAUGAAAGGGAAGAGAAUUAAUUCGAAGCCUUUCUUUUAAGGAGAAAGAAGAGACAAAUGUAUGAACUAUUAUCAGCGGCAGAGUCUCUUAUCAAAGAUUCAUUCUCCCUUUCGGCAUAGCGACAAAGAUAAUAAUAAAAUAACUAAAGUAUAGUUGACAAUAUCUAUAUGUAAUUAAUUGAAGCAGAGGAGAAAAUAUUAACGGUGAUGUUGAUGAAUUCAAAAGGAAAAAAAUAAUGUUGUGCCCCAUUUUGUGGCUUUUUUAAUAUCCAUAAUGCAAAAAUGCAAACCUAAAAAAUAAAUUUAUAUUAAAAAUGUCUCCUUAAAAAAACAUCUAAAAAAACUCAAAGUUUCAUAAACAAUCCAUAAUACACCCAAACAAGCAAAAAUAUAAAUAAAUCUAAAAUAAAAUAAAAAUGUCUCAUAAAAAGCAGCAUGCUCUUACAACAAAUGACCAAAAAGACAGAAAAAAGAAACCUAAAAUUUCAAAAAUAAUCUACAAUUAGGGGCAAUUAUUGGUCAGACAGAAUCGAUUUUGUACAAAAAUCGGGGUAAAAAACCGACCUAGAUAAUUGAUUUAUUUCGAGGAAAACAGACAACGAUGUUCAAUAGUCGUUUUGGUCGAUUUUGGUAGGUUUGCCUCAAUUUGGGUCAGUUUUUCGAAACCUUUUGGUUAAACAGACUAUCGACCAUGUCUAAUAAAAAUUAACCAUUGAGUGUUGGUUCGAUCGAUUUAGGUCUGUUCGUAUCGAUUUUUCGAGUGUCGAUGCUAACCCCUAUCCAUAAUACAAAAUAUAAGAAAGCUAAAAAAAUAUUCAAAACUAUGAUUGAAUAAAACAACGACAAGUAGAAUGAAAAUAUACAAAAGAAGAAAAAAUACAUUCACAAUAAAUGAAAAUAAAACUGAAAAGGAAAAGUUCAUCUUCUGAAUUAAAAGAAAAACAUAAUAUAUGCAAGCAAACUAAGAAAUGAUAAAUUUUAAAUUAAAAACGUGUCAUCAAACAACAUUGUUGGAUCAGUAUGGCAACCCUAGAGGGGGGUGAAUAGGGUUUAAAUAAACUUUUUGACCAAUAAAAAGUAAAAUCAACUAAUUAGAUACUUUUUAAAUUUAAAUAAAGAACUUUGUAAACUUUGUUAAAUAACAAGAUUGAUAAAAAUAUAUGAAUGGAAGUAUGCAAUCAAACUCAACCAAUAAGAGUAUGUAACUAAAAUUAAAUUAAAAAAUAAUUAGAAAAGAGUUAGAGAAGAAGACACCGUAAUUUUACAGUGGUUCGGUUAAACUCAACCUACGUCCACUUUCCCAAGCACCUCUUGGGAUUUUGAUUGAAAAUUUUCUUUGGACUCUUUCCACGGAUUUGAGCCGAAUCGAUUCUUGCUCCUUUUUCGGGUUCAAGAGCAAACCCGAUCCUUUCCACGGGUUAGGAUCCAACCGUUACAAUAUGUUGAAGUUUUUAAAUCAUACAAAAGAAAACUCUAUAAAAGAGUGAGUAUACAAUUUGAAGCUCACAAAUUUAAUCCUCACAAUACAAUAAGAAGCUCUCAAGAAUAAGAUGAAAAGAAUAAAAAUUGGAAGCUUUAGAGAGAAUAACAAUGUUGGCUUUUUGCUUGAGGAUUGUAAAUAAUUUUCAUGAUCUUGUGUAAAUGUUAAGUAUUUAAAAAGAGAGGAAAGAUAAAUUCAAAAUCAUUUGGGUCAUUAGAUAGAAGUAAAAGAAAAAUGAAUGGUUGAGGUUUAAACUUAAUUAGCCGUUAGACACAAUACAAAUAAUAAUAUAAUAAUAUGUCUUUUCAAAAUACUUUGUUUAAAAAGAAAUCAAUAAAGCAACUUCACCAUCUUUUAAACAACUAGCCGUUAGACACAAGGAAAAAUAAUAAUAUUAAAUUCAUUUUCUUUUUAAAUUCAUUUUCUUUAUAAAAGCCAAUAAAACAUAACAAAAAGCCACAUUUGUUACUCCUUCAUUGCUCCAAGUGGCUUUCUCUAAUUGAUUCAAAUUGAAUGCUUGGUCGCCACGUCACCAUCUCGGGUAUUUUUCCGUUAACCUUCUUUUAGCAAUAUUUUCUUCAUUUGAACUUCGAUUUGGGUGAUUCAAGAGGCGUUAGAAUCAUUUUUCCAAGCUCUACGAUAUGGUCUAUUCAAAUUAAUAAAAUUGUCAAUAAAAAAAUAUCAGAUUUGUUAUCAUCAAAACAUAAAUUAAUUGAAUAAUUAAAAUAAAUUAAUUUGAGAUUAGGGUUUAGGGUUUAGGGUUCAAAGACGCAUUCGUUUGGAAUGGAAUGAAGCUCUUCGGAAGAGACUCUAAGAUAAAACUAACUUGAUUAACCUCUUCGAUGGGACCACCAUUUACUUCAGCGAUGUUGAAGUGCAUCAUCAUGUCCAGAACAUGUUCUCUAACAGAGGUCCCUUCCUUCAUACGCUUAGUGUAAAUGUAUUUGACUGCCUCGUGUCUUAAGGACCAUUCUGGUUGCCCAAACAUUCCCCUUAAUGAAUCCAUAAUCUCUUUAGCCGUGGCUAAGGAUUCAUGUUUCUUUGCCAAUACAUCAGACAUGCUGGCAAGAAUGUAGACACGGGCUUUUUCAUUAGCUUUUAUCCAUCGAUCAUAUGCAUCCCGACUAGUUCGGUUAGCAUUAGAGGCAGGGUUUUGAGGACAUUCCUCAGUUAAGACAAAUCUUAAAUCGUCAACCACUAGUAUUGUGUUAAGAUUUGAUUUCCAAGCCGCAUAAUUAUCGCCAUUAAGUUUUUCGGAAGCUAAAAGUUGAACUAUUGAGCUAUUCAUGCUGAAAAACAAACAUAUUCUUUUUAGGAAAAAACUAUAAUCAUAAAAAAUAUCCAAUCUAAUUUAGCAAUUACUAAUAAUGUACCCUUUCAUUAUUUGUAUUUUGCAAUAAUAUUUCAAAGGUUUAGAACAACCUUCUCCGAAGGGUAGUUGAUUAUUCCUCCUUUGAACCAAGACAAUCUUGACUAGAUGGUAUCUCUAGAAUAACUCUUUAUUCUUUAUAGCACUUAGUUAUCGCUACUUUAGUCAAUAAUAUACUAACAACUUAGUAAUUCUUGUAAGUGUUACCCACCAUUUUCAGAUUUCAUAGAUUAGAAUCAUUUAUGAAAACUAAUAUAAGAAAUCCUAUCCAGUUUUGGAGUUCGCGGUGUUCCGAAUCCUAUAAUACAACCCUCCGAAGGGAACGUCGCUCUAGGGCAGACAAGCAUGCAUAUUAUAGAAAUCUCACGGUGCGACCUAAUGGAAGAGACCGUGGGAUGUGCUGCCACAAAUCCCUCACCCACUUACUAUGAACUACUUCCCCUAUUCACCUUGAUUUUGAUCCAUGCAAACACUCUCCAAAGGGAGGCCGCUCCACGGCACAAAGCCCUGCAUGGACCUCACGGUGUGAACUCUUAGGGACACUAGAGCUAAAAUACAUUAUUUUUCUCUAGUUGAAGUGUUAUAAAGAAGAAAAAAAAUAGGGUAAUCCAAGCUUCAAGAUUUAUAUUUAGGCUAACUUAAACAAAUCUUAAGUCUAGAUAAAACAUCCAAGUAUAACCAUUAUACAGGAUUUUAACCUAUGAUGUAUAGGUGAUAAACCAUUUUUAUUACCUCACACCUCGUUUGUACUACAAAGUGGGCCGCAUCCAUAUUUUCUCUAAAUAAGACGCCCAACCUUUAUUUCAUAUACUAUAGACUAUUUAGGCUAUAUACUCGAACUUGAUCCACGUUUAUGUUUACACAUAAAGUUCAAGUUUAUUCAAAAAAUAGCAUUGGAACUUGAUUUAUUGGUUUUAAGAUUAUAAUAUUUAAUUUCUCAAUAACAACUUUAUUGAACAGAAUAUGAUUUACAAACUACGAGUUUUAGGACAAAAAAUUCCAACAAAUGAGAGGGUGGGGCCCCUUGUUCAAGACUUGGAUUCAGUGCUUAAGAGAGCAACCUAUCUACUAACCCUAAAGUAGGUAGGAGAGAAUUCCAUCUUGUACCCUAUGUUCCAGUUAUCCACUCGAUCUUACCUCUGAAAAGGGAGGCUUAUUGGGCCAACACUGAUGAAGUGCCCUCACCUAUACAGAUCUAAGGAUAAUCUCGUGUGAACAGGAGUUCAUAGUUAACUCAGGAUUAAGAUUAAGUUACCUAGGUCAUCAAUAAUCGAGAUAGUCAGUUUUAAACAGUAAACAAUGUUAUAACGUAAAAACAAGACUAAUUCAUGGUUUAGUCUUAUGUAAACACUUUACAUAGGAUGCCCCCACUUUCACGUCUCUACAUGAACGAUUCACGAUCACCUCGUUUGUACUACAAAGUGGGCCGCAUCCAUAGUUUCUCUAAAUAAGACACUAAACCUUUAUUCAUAUACUAUAGACUAUUUAGACUAUAUAUACUCGAACUUGAUCCACGUUUUAUGUUUACACAUAAAGUUCAAGUUUAUUAAAAAAAAUAGCCUUGAAACUUGAUUUAUUGGAUUUAGGAUUAUAAUAUUUAAUUUCUCAAUAACAACUUUAUUGAACCGAAUAUGAUUACAAACUACGAGUUUUAGGACAAAAAAUUCCAACAAGAUUGUCUUUUGAUUUGUACGGGUGAGAGUGGCCAAAUUGCCGACUCAAUAAACUUAUCAUUUUGGGAACACAAACAUGUUUGAUAAUCAUUCUCAUUCCACGUUCUCAAAAUUUAAUGUGUUUUUAAAAAAUAAACAAAAAAUAGAGGAAACAUACAAAACAAAAAAUAGACAUGUUUAUUAAGGGGUUAGAGGCACGCAUCCUCUUCACAUUCAUGGUUUUUGUAUUUUAAUAUAAGAACUAAAAACCUAUCCGUCCUUCGCAAUAUUCUUUGCACCGCUCCGUGGGUCCUAUCCAUUAGAGAAUUUGAGAUUAGGUCCAUUGAAUGAAGCUACUUUAUUAACGGGGUGAUGAGACUAUCCAUUAGAAUGACAAAGGGAGAGAUUUCAGAGAAAAAGCGAAGCAAGGAAUCCAUAAAAAAUAGAAGUUGAGAGAAGAAGCUCUGAUUAUUUCUUUCGAAUCUUGGAUCUCUACCCUCGAUCCAGUUAUGAUAAGAAAAAAAGUCUCCUCUUUAAUUUUGAACAAUUAAAUUACAAUAUAUAUUAAAUAAUAUUUUUUUAUUAUUAAAUUAUGUAUAUAGUAGAGUGGCUACGUCCUUUUCAAAGUUUCAAGAUUUUGAGUUCAUCCUUGAUAAACUAAAACAUAUUUUGUUGUAUAUGAUAAUAUUUUGAAUAUAGUUGAACUGUUUUUAUAUAUAUGUUAAUGAGUAAGAUCGAAAUGCCAAUCAAAUUUGUGAGUAUGAGUAUAAUACAUUUUUUGUUAUGAAAUUUGGAAUGAGUGUCUAAUUAAUAUUGAAGGUUUUAGUUAGUUAGUUGUAAGGAAAAUUGUAAAUGGGCAGCAAAUUUGGAAUUCCCGCUGCCCGACUCACAAAUUUAUCUUUGCCCGCCAAAUAAUUGAAUUAAAGCGCAUUUUCAAACCUCGAUCCGAAAAGGCUUCACGCGGAUCGUCCUUAUCAACCGUCGAUUAGAUCGAUAAUCCAACGGAUAAGGUGCUUCGUUUCCGAACUCCAAAUCCGACUGGAAUUCGGAGUUCUGUAUCAUCACAUUCAUAAAUACCCCAAACCACUAAAUUAGGGCAUUAACUCAGAAAAAUUCCCAAUCAAUCGAUUCAUUCUUCAUCCCUUCAAGUCAAUCAAGGAAAUGUCUGGCCGUGGAAAGGGAGGAAAGGGGUUGGGGAAGGGAGGAGCAAAGCGUCACCGGAAGGUUUUGAGAGAUAACAUUCAGGGCAUUACCAAGCCUGCCAUUCGCCGUUUGGCUCGUAGAGGUGGUGUGAAGCGUAUCAGUGGAUUGAUCUAUGAAGAAACCAGAGGGGUUUUGAAGAUUUUCCUUGAGAAUGUUAUUCGUGAUGCUGUUACUUACACUGAGCAUGCAAGGAGGAAGACGGUGACUGCUAUGGAUGUUGUUUAUGCCUUGAAAAGGCAGGGAAGGACUUUGUAUGGUUUUGGAGGUUAGGUUAUGGUUUUGGUCUAGAUAAUAUUUGUAUAGGUUGUUUCUUUUCUGCUGGGUUUCUUUGUUUCUGCAAGUUCUUUUCUUAUUGUUCUGGCAAAAUGAUAAUGGUUCAUUAUCCAAUUGUGCUUUUGCGUUACUACCUGUCUCUCGUACCAUUUCUCUCCCUCUUCUUCCGAAUUUGAAUCAACAAGAACUCAACAGUUGACGAACUUAAGGUUAUAUACAGUUGAAUGAAGUUUGAAUUUCUUAAACAUUUGGUAUGGGAUUUAAACAACGUUUAACUUGGAUCUCCCGUUCCAAUAUUUAGGCACGCUUAUUGUGAAUUCAAGAAUUUUUGUAUUACUGAUUUUCUAAAUAAUCAGCAAUCCAAUUUGUUGAACAAGUUCUGGCAGUUAUCUUGCUUAAAUAAUUAUGCCGAAGAAUUGCAAUCUUGGAAGUUGAAAGAUCUGUGAUGUAAAAAAUGGUAUGAUGUUCCACUAUUCAUGGAUGAAUGAAUCCAAUUAAACUUGGACGACUUUGAACAUUUUGCUGGGUGCAUGUGAAAGGUUUAUUGAAAGACUAGCAUUAUAUUCAAAUGAUCGUCUCUCCUUGAUAUUUGAGUCUAAACAACAUAACCUUAAGGAAUUUCUAGUGCCACCAAAGAAAGAUCUUUUGCAGAAUUGUCAAGAAGAACAAUCGUGAGUUUCUUGUUCUUUGCUGGCUUUUUGGAUUGAUAUAUUUCAUAAUGGCGUUACUUUCCUAUCAUUAUUUUGGUACUGCAUCCUAAUUUCAAAGCAGUUCAUUUGUAUCAGGUGGUAGUUUUGUUAAGGGUUCUGCAGGUUGACAAUCCUUACGAUGCGUUUUAACAUUGCAUCUUCAUGGUUUUAAGUAAUCUGUUGUAUUCACUGGCUACAGCAGCAACUUUUGUCUAAAUGAUGCCAAUCCAUCUUCUACUUAACUGGUGCUGUAUGUUGAAGAGCAGCGUAUGCAUUUUCAAUUUGUGCAGUAGUUCGGGGUCUUUUACAGCGUAUGCCAAUCCAUCUUCAUGCUUUUCCUAGAUUGGGUUCUCAGGUACGAUUCUUGAAGUUGAUCUUUGUGUAGUCCGUGCAUAUUCUCAAAUAUGCCUUGGUGUUUCUUGCUGUAAGUUGAUGUGCUAGAGCAUUGCUAAUGCUUAGAAAGUUCACAAAGUCUAGUUAUCAUUGAGGUUUUCAAGCUUUGCUACUUGCUUGCUAUUCUACAUUUAUGUGGAUUUAGAGGGGCACUUCCCUCGAGCAACAAAAGAUAUGCAUACUGAUCUGUGAUCUCAACUUCUUGAUCGACUAUCAAAAUAUCAUUUGUUAAUGAGCAUUUGAUCUCAACUGGGUUAAGUUCUUGAAUAUACGGCCGUUGGUCCAACUAUUUAAAGCGAGCAAAAGAAUGUUGGUUAAGCUCUUCCUUGAGGAAUCCCCAUUUUGACGCUUGCUGCUUCACGAACAAAUUCUUUUUCUGGACCACAACUGAUGUUCUCUGUUUUAGUCUCAUGACGUCGUAUUUGCUUUUAUCUCGUCUUUACUAGUCCAUCGUUAUACUUCUACUUCCUUUGGAUGGCUUGAUUGAGAUCUUUGCUUUGUGCUUUUGGGAUGUCAUAUCAUAUUUUCCAUUAUGCUUGGCAGAUAUGGGCAGCUUGAUAGUAAGUUGAUACAAUAAGUAUUGUCAGAUCUGCAAAUAUUCUAGAUCUAUGCAAGUCCCAUGAAGUAUAAAAUAAAACAAUCUGCUUCUUAACUCAAAUCUAUUUGAUUACCAAUGCUACUUCUGCAAGUAUGAGCAUGAUCCACAAUGGUAUCAGGAGACUUUUGUUGGAAAUUGAUAGUUUAGACUAAUGGAAGGUAGAGUUUCAUUUAGUUGAUUAGGGCUAUUAGCGUACUCAAGUGUGGCAGUGCUUACGUUACUCAAGAGUUUAUACGUUCGAAGUUAGGAAGUUUGUAUUUGGGGUGUAGAGUUGCAAGUUAAAGUUCUAUAUAGUGAAAAAUAUAUAAAGAGGAAACUAUAAAGUUUAUCGAUAAAUGUACGAUGUGUCGAUGACAUUUAUAUUUGAACACAAAUUAAAUGUGUAAUCACUUGCACCCAAACAGUGUUGUGCAACUUGUAUCUUUACUAUCAUAAUAUUUGUCGACAAACAUCUUAAACUCGAAUAUUAUGUCUUAGGGAUGGCAAAGUAGCCAUCUAUGAAAUUUGUUGGAGCCCAGUAACUCUACAUGGGUGACUAAAUGAAUACAAUAUAGCCUCAAAAAGAAAAAUGACAAUAUUUCCAAUGUGAUAUAUAUGAUAGGCAAAAGGUUUGUUCAAGCAUUUAACUUUACAAAUUUUGUUAACCAUUUCGUUCGCGCUUAUGUCUUCUUUGAUUAUUUGAGUUACUCAAAUGAGAUACUUAACAUGAGCAUUAGCUACAACACUAUACAAAACAAAGAUGUGAGAUGUGAAACUUAUUAUGUAUGUGAGAGUUUAAAGUGAAAGGGCUGUAGCCGUUGCUGCGGAUAGGUCUUCUUUUUUCAUUCUUAUCGUUUUAGUCAUCCAUCCGUAAGCAUGAGUCUGAGUCUAGAGGAAGAAGCCCCCAACGGAAUGAGCAACCGCGGAGUGGGCAUCGGGUAUCUAAGGAUGAUUUCUGAACAUAUGAAGUAAUUACCGGAUCAUAUUUCAUCGUUGCACUCCAAUUCCCAAGAAUAUCCCUGUCUUAUGGCACCUGUGAAAAGUCAAUCAAAGAAGCUCAUUAACUCGAAUUCAAGAAGCUCAAAAUUCAUCUGCUAGAUUGAAGACGGAGUUCAUUCCUAGAAAAUGCAAGGUUUUGCCUAUAGGUUCAAAGAAUAUUGAAGCAAGAAAUCAUGAAAAAGAAUAUUGAGAGUUUACAAAUUAGGCGCAAAGAAUAUUGCAAGGAGCGCAACGAUGAAAUCCAUAUUAAGCUAGCCGACCCCAUCCUGCCUUUCUUUAUGGUAUUCCACCUGGCCGAAAUCGGGAUCAUCGUCUAGCCAAUCCUCGUAUUUUUGCAAGGGUAUCUACCCGCUCCUGGUCGCUUGCAAUGGUUGUGACCUUCUUGUCUUUGAAAGGCGCACAGGCUUCCUGGGAGAACUGGAGAAGGGGGCGUCUUCUCGUCUUUGCUUACGUGUCGACACAAGUCAACUUAUAGGGAUUCUUUGAAAAAGUAUGAAAAAUAAUGGCAAUAUUCUUUCGAUAAUUCUUUGAUCCUCCGUCCUUAGUCGUUCUUUAUAUUCUAGUGGAUAAAAACAAGUCCGGAGGACGGUCUCGCUCCUUUUUGACUCAGCUGGAACUGGAAGUCUAGUUGUCGACUUUCUUCCUUCUCUCUCCGGUCUCGCUCAUCCCUUCUAGCCUUCGGACCUGUCUUAUGCAUCCUUACUCAAAUUUCAUUGAUCCUCUCCGCCCCGUGGGAGUCUGAAAUAUUCUUUGAACCUCUCCGGUCGAGCAGCGGCUUUGCACCGCUCCGUGGGCCUCUUUUCUUCGCCUUCUUCGCAAAUUCUUUGCGCCUUCUAUAUAGUACUUUGUCUUUUGUCCACUAAAAACAAUGUAGAUGUCCACAGGUCCGAAGGACUAUCCAUAUUAACCCGUCUGUCCUUCGGACGGGGGAUUUGAAUACUAUUACUUCUUAUUUGACGUUAGGAGCUUUGAAUUUGCGAAGCGGGGAAUCGGCAGAAGCCCAUAAAGAGCAUUACGUACAAAGGCCUCACCAGCACAUUUGGACUUUCCGCAAUUAACCGAACUUUGACCCUCUCCUCUCUAGUCUCCCUUCUUCGAACCCUAUUUAGGGAGUGCAAUAGAGAACCUGAGAUCCGAUGCUUUCAAUCAGUCGAAGGAGCGGCAAGCCUUUACUUUAGAUUCUCUUAGUCAAGCUAUGUAUGAGUUCCAAGAAGUUCGUAGGGGAAAGUUAGAAAGAGAUGUUGCGUAUCGGGUAUCAUUCCGGGCAAGGAGAGAGCGGUUGAAAGAGGUGGAAGAUUCUCGUUCUUCGAUCUGUUCCGGCUCUUUCUUUCUUUGCUGGAUCUCGCGCAAGAAAAAAUGUAUCUUCUACUUUCUGCCCUGCCUGCCUAUCGUCUCCGAAGUCAAAAUCGCAUAUUCCAUUCCAGGUGAGGUUCUAAAUGUCGAGUCAUUUCAUUGAUCGGCUUGGGUCCUCGUAUUCUUGAAAUUCAAAGAAUGAAUAAGGAAGAGCUCUUACCGAUCUUCUCGAAGAACCGACAGCUACUUCCUCUCAAGCCGAUUCUUCUUCUUUUUUCAUGCCGAGAAAGAGGAGAAUGCUUCUUAAAGUAGUAGGCUGUCCCCUCCCGUCCGUCCUUACUGUGUGACUCUUAGACUGCCGAUUGAGAGUUUGCGGUUUAAAGAAAAGAGCGGGUCGAGACUGAACCUCUGGAAAGAAGAAGGUUCUCCUCUUUAUUCUGAUUCAAGUUCAUGCCGGAAUCAGACCAUCCGUAAUUAACCGAAGUAGUCCUACGUCCUACGUCCGCAGGAUUUAUCCGUAGUCCUUCGAAUGAGCAAGUAGGGGGCGGCAACUAAAGAGGUAGCGAGACUGACCGCAAUUGCAGGAAUAGGUUGACUUUCUUUCAUUUUGGUUAUGGAAAGUGCAAGUCCUUUCGUUUAGUAGAGGAGAUCGAUGAACACCUCGCGGUGCUUACACCUCUCGCCUAUUCGAAGUGAUGUUCAAAAACCUCGUCCGAGAACUUGUAUAGAGAAGGAUUUCCCGCGGCGCAGCGGUUCUUCCAUACCAACUUAGUUGCCCGGCGCUGCUAUUGGCAUAACAACUAUAAUAGCGACACAAGACUAUCCACUUGGGUUAGCAACUGCCACAGCGGCUGCCACUGACUCUUCUGAAACUGAGUGUGAGAUUGCUUCUUCUCUCUCUCUCUCGGAAACUAUUCAAUUGAGUACACCCUAUACAUGUAUCAUAAAUCUUUACUGAAUGUGACAUUGGAUCUAUCAUUUUUUUUAAGACGAUAAACGAGUCAAUUUGUAAAUGAAUUAUAUAUUUAGAUACCAGAUGACUCAGAAUUUUGAGCGAGGGAAAGGUGCGAAGCCGCUCUCAAGAGUUCACCCGAAGGAGAGGUGCGAAAAGAUGCUCGACAUUCAAACUAGAAAGUGGAGUGGAACAGCGCGAGACUAACCCGCUGGGUUAGAGGAAGGUAGUUGUUGUUGGUGCAGAAAUGCGAGGUUACGUACGAAGGAUCGGAAGUGGCAGUUCUUCAUUAAAACCGAAAUCUUCAUUCAAGCACUCUGGUCCCAAUCCUUCCCUCAGAUGAGAAUGGCAGAGACUGAUUACGAAAGAGAUUAAGAAUGUAGCAGUCAAUAAUCGUAUUCAUACCGCUCGGACACCGAAAGAUAAGAGUUCGAGGUGAGAGUCCUACUCUUCCCCGAUUGACUUCCGUAACCCUACUUAUUUGUUCUAGUUUGAGGCGGCCGGCCAAGGAACCUAUUCUAAGCGAAAGAGUCUUAUCUUGAUUUAUUUCAUAAUGCUAAAUGCUCCGAAUCUAGUAAUAUGGAAAUCAGGGUCAAGACGACCGUCCGAAGGUGCAAAGAAUAUUGCGGAAAAGAAAAUCAGCUCAUUAACCGAUAAUGAAAGAAUAAUUAACUCAUUAACGAUAAUGAAAGAAGCUCAAAAUGGGAAUGCAAAAUGUGCAUCUUUGUGCUAGAUUUCAGACAUCUUUGCUUAAUAUGGGCAGUUCCAUACUCUCUUUUUGACGGAGGGAAAUCAAUGAUUUUGCUAGGUUUUGGGCCUAUACGGAACGCAACUUUUCAAGUCAAAUGCCUUCUUUUUCACUCUAUUUUCGUUAAAUAUCAAUCUUCAAAAAAGUCCUAUUUAGAAGCAAAAAAGCCGGGAAAUUGCAACUGGUCCAUUAGAAAAAUCUAGGUAAAAGAAAUGAACAUUGAGAACUUCUAGUUUGUGUUCCGGAGAAAGAGAGGUCUAUUCUUUAUUUCACUCCGUCUUCAAUCUCCAAAUCAAUGAAGGAGUACAAUGAAAUAUAAUGAUUCUUGAAUUCGAGUUAAUGAGUGAAUUCUGAUUUUCGUCAAUAUUCUUUCCAACCCCUCUGGUUAAUGGUCGAUAGCUGCUACCGGCUCCCGGGUUUUCUGAAUAGGAUGUAUGGGGUGUAGCUCCUGGAAGGGAGCGGCGGAUUAGCAAAGGACUGAUUUAUCCAUAUUAACUUCUUGGACUCAUUCUCUACCCCCUACGUGGGCUAUGGAAAGCAGUCAAUGAAAAAUCAAGCUCCAGAUGAGUUGACUGAUAUCAUAAAGAGCUUACUCUGGAAAUUACCGCCUACCUGCCGUCUCGCUGCAAAGGGCGCGAUCUACGAACAGAUGAGUAUAGUGAGAGAGCCACACCCAUUCUAUCGAAGGCGUCUUUCUCUCUUGAAACCGAGCUACUCUUGCUUCCCCGAGAAUAGAGUGAAUUCUUCUUUCUUAGUGUGAUUUGUGACUUUCUGAAUUAUAUAAGAAAAUAGUGAACAUUUAGUUAAUUACUCCCGGGUUUUCAUGGCAGUAGUGUAUUCACUUCGCACAAUGAUCGGAGCGAAGUUGAAGGUAGCUGCGAACCAACUGGAAUGGGGUCCGUCCUUCUUUUCCAACUGAUCCUUAGUCCGAUUCUUUCCUAAAGAUUAUCUUGCGGAUCUUACUGUAAAAUGAAGCUAAUCCCGGUCGAGUAUCUUAUUCGAAAUACAGUGGACUCUAAACCAGAGUCCGGAGCUCGAUCCGUGGUUAAUGAGAUCCGAGUGCAUUCCGAGUGGUUUGGACGAGUCCAAGAAGUUAAUAUGGAUUUGAGAGUCCAAGAAAUUGGAAGUUCCAUAAAGGAGUCCUCCGUCCAAUGGCUAUUUUUUUCCCUUCUAUAUAUUCUUUGCGCCCCUUGUUCAUUGAUUUCAUGCGCUUCUCAACUCAUAUUAGAUCUCGCCUCUCCCUAUGUAUGGUCGUCCGGUUUAGAGUCCUUCGGACGUGCUCAGUCCUUUCCAUUAGUAGUUAGGAGCUUUUCAUAUUGCGGAAAAGAAGAAAGGAGCGCAAAGAAAGGUCCAGGGUUCGCAGUCCGCAGGAUUUAUCCGUAGGACUAUCCAUUAGAAGGAGGACUAUCCAUAUGGAAGUAGUCCGGAGGUUUAUCCGUAGGACCAUCCGUAAUUAACCGAAGCAGUCCGCAGGAUUUAUCCGUAGUCCGGAGUCCUACGUCCGCAGGAUUUAUCCGUAGUCCGAAGGAGUGGGUAGAAAGCCGAGCCUAUCUGCACCUGCGCCUUCUUUUUCUUCUUCGCGCAUCUGGUCCGAAGGACUGACCGCAGAGGUUAGCAGUCCAAGGCUAUAUGGAAUAAAUCAGUCGGAAUAUAUGAAGAAUUAAUACAUCUAUUUCUCAUAGAUUAUGAUCUUUAAGAGAGAUCUUGCCGCUACGUGGGAGUCCCAUUCAGCCUUGCCACCUUUCUCUUUAUCGCUUCGCACUCUUAUCCAAUUUGACUAAGCAUACGUGGACCAGCCGAGAUAAUGAGAUGAAGAGCUUUCUAAACGACGAGACUAAAGAGGAGAUUUACUAGGGAAAAUGGACAAAAUGCAAGGUUUUGGGCUAUGCUAGCUCUCCGCAAUAUUCUUUGCACCUCAAUUCAACCAUUAUCGUGAUAUAAUCACAGUCUAGAAAAGUCUUGGAAAAAGAAGCCAAAAAUCCCGGGUUUCCGCAAUGUGAGAAUGUACCUACGGAAUCGAUCUCAUUUGCUUAAGACAUGAAAUGAAAUUCAAUCACCUGGGAAAGUCACAGGAGCGGGUCGGUCGGCCUAGUUUGUGAGGAGUCCUCGGAGUAGAAGUCAACGGACGUCGUGCUCCUCCGCCUCUUCUUACAGUCGAUUCGACUAAUCCUCUCUUCGUGCCUAAUCUGAUACCUCCCUCUCCCGGGCAGCUGCUUCUCUCAAUUACUGUAACUGUCCUUCGCACCUCUUCCCCAACUUGCCAGUCUCGACUUUUCCUCAUUCUAUUCUGAUGAGAAUGAAAGAGCAAGGGCACGGACCAGGCUGAGGCAAGGAUCCGAGGAACUUUCCUUCAUCCAGUAUGAAAGCCAAAGGCCUAUGAGAAGAAGAAGAAGUUCAUUCCUUAGAAAUAUAAAUGAGAGCGAAAGCGGCUCGCUCGCAAUAUUCUCAUGUCAGUGGAAGGCAAUAUUCGAUAAUUCAGGCUGAGGCGGAGGAGGAGUUGACGGCUCGCCUUAGAUAGGAAAUAGGGGGAGAGGCGCAAAGAAUAUUGCCCAUGGGCUCGACUGAGAUGGACGGAGGACGAGGCGCAAAGUUCGGUUAAUUACGGAAAGUCCUCCUUCGGUUAAUUACGGAAAGUCCUCCUUCGGUUAAUUACGGAUGGUCCUACGGAUAAAUCCUCCGGACUGCUUCCUUCCAUAUGGAUGGUCCUACUUCCAUAUGGAUAGUCCUACGGAUAAGAAUCCUCCGGACUCCAGACUACUUCUGUUAAUUACGGAUGGUCCUACUUCCUUCCAUAUGGAUGAUCCUACUUCCAUAUGGAUAGUCCUACGGAUAAGAAUCCUCCGGACUCCGGACGUAGGAUAAAUCCUGCGGACUCCGGACUGCGGACUGCGGACUCCGGACCCUGGACCUUUCUUUGAUGGAGGCGCAAUGAAAUAUGCGGCGUGAGAAGCAAGGUUUUAAGUGCAACUCAACCUACUAAAAUAAAAAGAACCUAAAAAAUACUGUUUUAAGUGCAAGGAAUGAUAUUAAUCUUUUACAUAGUCUUUGAAAACUGGAGGCAAGGCAGACCAGUUUGCUCUUUUCAAACAUUAACAUGCGAAGCGAAGCAUUAAAAGAAGAGAUAAAUAAAGAGUUAAGGAGCGCAAAGACGCAAUAUUCCUUGCGCCGGAGGACUAUCCAUAUUAAGAAAGACUAUUACAAACAUUAGUAUGGACUAUUCCGUGCCUUUUUACAUAGUCUCGGGAAAACGCAAUGAAAGAAGAACUCCUAGGACAGGUAAAAUCAAUGAAGACUUCUAGUUUGAGUUUAUGGUCCGGAGAAAUACGGGUCUAUUCUUGAUUUCCCUCCAAGUUAUUCAAUCAAAAUUCUUCUUGAAUUCUCGUUAAUGAGCUUCUUUCUUUGCGCCUGCGCCUGGACCAAAGGUUAAUAUGGAUGGAUAGUCCUACUUCGGUCCAGGUGCAAAGAAUAUUGCCUGGAACUUGAAUAAGGAGCGUAGCGGAGUAGCGGAGCGGUGGGUUCGGUGGCUUCGCCCUGCUUCGCCCUUUGUUUUCCAGCCAGCGUAGCGGACACCGGACACCUUUCUUUUCUCUUUUCCAGCGUAGCGUAGCGGAGAAAUCAAGCGGAAAUCCUCUUUGAACCGCGGAGUGGGGAUUUUCAGCCUAACGUAGCGGAGCGGUGGCUCUCCCUAUUAAUAGAACUUUGUCUUUGUACUUGGUCAAAAUCAAGCAGAAAUCUUCCUGUCCUCCGGACUAUCCAUUAGAAGCGCCUCUUGUCGAGUAAGAAAGGUUCGGUAAAACUCUCGGGGAUUCCUUAUCCAGUUUAUUCCUUUCAUAUGAAACCGCGAUACUUUUCAUUGACUUCCUUCUCUUUCUUCCUUUUAUUCCGUUUCGGAUUCUAGAAUCUUUCCCCGCGUAGUGGGCAUUGACUUCUUCAUUGAUCUUCCCCGCUUGAUUUAUGUAUGUUCAUUGAUUCCUCUUGUUUUUCUUUUCUUCUUAUAUCCUAUUAUGACUUGAAAACCACUAAAUCUUUCUUCCAAUUGAAGUAAAUCAUAAAAAACCUCGUGAACUAAGAAAAGAAAAGAAUAAUUCUGAUUUCAUCACCUUGUUUUUACGGAGGGAAUAUUAAGUCUAAUAUUCCCCCUCAAGAUGGAGAGUAUAUAUCUUUCACUCCCAUCUUGCAUAAAUGAAGAGAUAAAGUUAUGGCAUUAAGGGGCUUUGUGAGAGCAUCAACAAGCUGAUUUGAAGACCGUAUAGUAGUUUGAUAGUCAGUCCGGAAAUUCUCUCAUAAGAAAGCAAUACGGUAUGGUAUGUCUGCUGAAAGGGGGCAUGAUCGGGCCCCCACGGAGGGGGAAUCACUCGCGCAUCCAUCUUGCUCUCAGUUGUGCCGACCGAAGAAGAAAGAGUUGGUGGGGACUCAUCAUCAGUAAGACGAAAGGUGGAAAAACCCGUAUUCAGACAAGGUUUCCACGGAAUGAUAAUGAGAUUUGACUCCGUCAUAGCAAGCCUUCAUCUAUGGGCUAGAACCAACGGAAAGAGUCUGACUCAAAGGUUAUUUUCGGAGAGGAGUUAGGCUCGACCCUGUUUAAGAGAAAGAGUCCGAUCUCCUCUUGAAGCCACUUUUGUCUUUCUAAACCCCUUGAGAACAGGAAGAAAGAUACAAAGAACAAACUAUCGAGAAAUUGAGUGAUUCACUCAUUUAUGAUAUAUGAAAAAGAGAGAAUGAAAGAGUGAAUAGUUCAUUCUUUUGUUGUUUCAUUCUAUGUUUCAUUCGUAACAGGGAAUCUUUGCUUUCUUCUAUUACGAUAGUGCAAAUUGUUCUUUAUUUCAAGAAUAAGUUGGAUACAACCAACUGUACUUUUCUAGUUAUAACUACGAAAAGGUGCAUGAUCCCGCGAAUUACUUCUGACAAAAUGAAGAAAUCAUAUUGAAGAACCAUAGCCAUUUCGCGAUUCAUUGGUAAAUCAACUUUGAUUUGAAG